UGCAAGUCGCACGAGAACGUUUCAGCUUGCUGAAACUAGUAAAGUGGCGUACGGGUGAGUAACGCGUGGGUAAUCUACCUCCGAAUUGGGGAUAACAUUGCGAAAGCGAUGCUAAUACCGAAUGAUAUCUCAAUAACUCCGGUCUUUGAGAUCAAAGGUGGCCUCUCCAUGGAAGCUACUGUUUGGAGAUGAGCCCGCGUACCAUUAGCUUGUUGGUAGGGUAACGGCCUACCAAGGCGACGAUGGUUAGCUGGUCUGAGAGGAUGAUCAGCCACACUGGAACUGACACACGGUCCAGACUCCUACGGGAGGCAGCAGUGAGGAAUUUUGCGCAAUGGGGGAAACCCUGACGCAGCAACGCCGCGUGAGUGAUGAAGGCUUUCGGGUCGUAAAGCUCUGUCAAGUGAGAAGAACCUGCCUUUUGGUAAUAUCAUUGGGCACUGACGGUAUCACUGAAGGAAGCACCGGCUAACUCCGUGCCAGCAGCCGCGGUAAUACGGAGGGUGCAAGCGUUAUUCGGAAUCACUGGGCGUAAAGAGCGCGUAGGCGGUUUCUAAAGUCAGAUGUGAAAGCCCGGGGCUCAACCCCGGAAGUGCAUUUGAAACUUAGGGACUUGAGUAUGGGAGAGGGAAGUGGAAUUCCUGGUGUAGCGGUGAAAUGCGUAGAUAUCAGGAGGAACACCGGGUGGCGAAGGCGACUUCUUGGACCAAUACUGACGCUGAGGCGCGAAGGCGUGGGGAGCA
rnacentral:rRNA from 1 species